rnacentral:rRNA from 1 species
UACGUAGGGCGCAAGCGUUGUCCGGAAUUAUUGGGCGUAAAGAGCUCGUAGGCGGCUUGUUGCGUCGGUUGUGAAAGCCCGGGGCUUAACCCCGGGUCUGCAGUCGAUACGGGCAGGCUAGAGUGUGGUAGGGGAGAUCGGAAUUCCUGGUGUAGCGGUGAAAUGCGCAGAUAUCAGGAAGAACACCAAUGGCGAAGGCAGCUCUCUGGGACGGUACUGACGCUGAGACGCGAAAGCGUGGGGAGCGAACAGG